CUGGGACGGAACUGUAGCCGAAGCUGGAGCAUCUUGGCCGCGCAGAUCUUGGCCAGAUCCCGCCAGCACCAGUGCAUCUCCAUCUCGGCGCGCGGCGGUGCAUGUCUGAUUUUCUAUAGAAUUGUUUGCCGCCGCACUGCAGCCCACGUACAUGUAUGUAUACAUACAUAUAUCCACCAUGUGUUGACAAUGAAGACGGUCACUUUCCUGACUUUCUGGACUUACUGGACAAACGCGACAAACGCGAGGAUCGAAAGAUCGGAAGAUCGCAAACGGGAACGGCCCAAGAACAAAUAGAGUUUCAGAUCUUCAGUCAAUUCCCAUAGUCUGGCCGAUGCUGGCGAUCGCUCCCAGCUCCCGCCGCUGACGUAGUUAUUGCUGUCGAUGCAUCUUAAUCUGCCCAGGCUGGCAUUUAAUCUCGUCCAUUGUCUUUCGACCACAACCAAUGAUCACGGCCAGGAGCUGCAAGCUGGGAAUCGCGAACUGGGCAUCUGGUAAUCUCAGCGAGAAGCUGGCAGAUGGGGCAGCGGGAGCAGCGUUGGAAUGUGUAUAUAAUUUGGUUACAGUGCUACUCUGCCGACUCUCCUCUCUAUUCAAUUAGCGCAUUUUUUUAGCGCAUUAGAUAAGGCGAAUUAAAUUCUCAAACGAUGCGACAAUGGUGGCAAAAAAUGAAUUGAGUUUGCUCAGCGAAAACAAUAAAGCAAUCAGCAUUUGCUGCU
rnacentral:lncRNA from 1 species